CCUACGGGAGGCAGCAGUGGGGAAUUUUCCGCAAUGGGCGAAAGCCUGACGGAGCAAUACCGCGUGAGGGAAGAAAGCCUACUGGGUUGUAAACCCUCUUUUUUCAGGGAGGAAAAAAACUGACGUGUACCUGAAGAAUAAGCAUCGGCUAACUCCGUGCCAGCAGCCGCGGUAAGACGGAGGAUGCAAGUGUUAUCCGGAAUUACUGGGCGUAAAGCGUCUGUAGGUGGUUUAAUAAGUCAACUGUUAAAUCUUGAGGCUUAACUUCAAAACAGCAGUCGAAACUAUUAGACUAGAGUAUAGUAGGGGUAAACGGGAAUUUCCAGUGGAGCGGUGAAAUGCGUAGAUAUUGGAAAGAACACCGAUGGCGAAAGCACUUUACUGGGCUAUUACUAACACUCAGAGACGAAAGCUAGGGUAGCAAAUGGGAUUAGAUACCCCAGUAGUCCUAGCUGUAAACAAUGGAUACUAGAUGUUGAACAGAUCGACCUGUGNAGUAUUAAGUACUAACGUACGUUAACGUUACUCCGUCCGUCGGUAAGGUAUAGUCUCGCAAGAGUAGAACUACAACUAGUAAUUAGUACGGCGUGAGACGUGCCGAACGGACGACCGACCGACGGGGAGGUAGG
rnacentral:rRNA from 1 species